rnacentral:tRNA from 1 species
GGCUGAGUGGUGUAGUGGUUAUCACACCUGUCUUACAUGAUGGGCACAGGCGGUCGUCGGUUCGAUCCCGGCCUCAGUCA